rnacentral:rRNA from 1 species
CGACUAACUAUGUGCCAGCAGUCGCGGUAAUACAUAGGUUGCAAGCGUUAUCCGGAUUUAUUGGGCGUAAAACAAGCGCAGGCGGAUUANAAAGUCUGGUGUUAAAAUCANCUGCUUAACGGUUGAAUGCAUUGGAAACUUCUAGUCUAGAGUGUGGUAGAGAGUUCUGGAACUCCAUGUGGAGCGGUGGAAUGCGUAGAUAUAUGGAAGAACACCAGCUGCGAAGGCGAGAACUUAGGCCAUUACUAACGCUUAGGCUUGAAAGUGUGGGGAGCAAAUAGGAUUAGAUACCCUAGUAGUCCACACCGUAAACGAUGGAUGUUAAACGUCGGGGCGAUCACCUCGGUGUUGCAGUUAACACAUUAAACAUCCUGCCUGGGUAGUACAUUCGCAAGAAUGAAACUC